rnacentral:lncRNA from 1 species
ACAACAACAACCACCACCAUUAUUAAUAACCAAGCACCAAUUAUACAGUAAUUGUGAAGACCUUGUGACACUGAAGACUGGAGUAAAAACUGUAAUAUUUCACAAUAUUUUUGAUCAAAUGAAUGCAGCCUUAGUGAGAAUAAGAGACCUCUUUCAAAAACUGCAUUUAAAAAAAAAUAUUCCAAACUUUUAACCGGUAGUGUACACACACACAGUUUAUUUCUAUUUUACAAAUUCUAUUAUAAAGUACAAUUUCUAUUAUUUCUAUUAUUACAAAUGAACAUUUAUUAACAAAAAUAUUAAAAUAAUUAAAAAUCAAAUAGGUGGCAUCGCUAACAUUACAGUGUUUAUGUUAUAAUAAAAUAGUUGUCAAUGGACAUGUAAAAUGUUGUCAGGUAAAAUAACUCACCAAUAUUAUUCUUUCCUUUGUAUUGGGUGAGAGUGAACCUGCGGUUGGAUCUUUCUUCUCUUCUCUGGAGUCCUAUUAAGAUAAGUGUGCUCAUUUAAAGCUCAGCCCUCAUAUAAGGGCUUCCCAAAGUUUGUCACUGUGUUUGUCAGUUGGGCAAGUCGUCAUACACAGCAUAAAGCCACCUAGCACCACAACAAACCCUUUUUAACUCUUGGAGUGGAUUUAACAGAGGUAUAUCAAGCAAACAACCAUACCUUCUCAAAAAACAAACUGCUUUUAACAUAUUACAUAGUUUAAAAAAAGAUUAAGUAAAACAGCCUAAGAAAAUGACAAAGUGUUGGGCAAACAAAGGAUUUAGGCUACUCACAUCCAGUUCCAUUGGCUACAUGAAUGCAAUAUUUUAAGAAAAACACAAUGGUUGAGGUAGAUGAUUUCAACUAUUGACAGAAAGGCUUUUGUAGGUUUGAAAAGUGCUGUCCACAUAUUACACAAAAUCUUUUUUUUUUUUUUCGCUCUCUCGAACACAGAUCUGAUUGCCAAACAGUACACCAUAACCUCAAAACACAUCAAAAAUAAUUAGUAAUACAAUAACAGGAAUAGUAGAGCUGUGUUCUUGAGCUGGAUUAGGUAGGAUUGUGUUACACAGUUCAGGUCCUGAAGCUUUGAGGGUGAGGUGGGUUAGGUUGAGGUACGCUCUCGGAGGGACGGUGGAUCACACUAUGGCGGUCUGGCUGCGUCUCAUUCCUCUCAGCAGCUCGUCUCGGCUGAGUAAGUACUGUAAGUGAGAGGAGGUGAAGGUGCCAGGAUUAGUCCGAAGAUCUGCAUAAGUUAAACCUAGUUAAGCAGAGUUAGGGCCCCGUUCAGACCAAACACGCUUUUUUUUUUAGAUCUGAAAAUGGAAGGCGCACUGCACUGCCUUUUUUUGGUGACUUUUUAAAAAAAAGAGCAGUGCACACCAAUUCAGCUGUCCUGUCAGUCUAAUCAAAGGAUUAUAGCGCGAGCGCUCUAAAA